GAUGAACGCUGGCGGCGUGCCUAAUACAUGCAAGUCGAGCGAACGGACGAGAAGCUUGCUUCUCUGAUGUUAGCGGCGGACGGGUGAGUAACACGUGGAUAACCUACCUAUAAGACUGGGAUAACUUCGGGAAACCGGAUCUAAUACCGGAUGAUAUUUUGAACCGCAUGGUUCAAAAGUGAAAGACGGUCUUGCUGUCACUUAUAGAUGGAUCCGCGCUGCAUUAGCUAGUUGGUAAGGUAACGGCUUACCAAGGCAACGAUGCAUAGCCGACCUGAGAGGGUGAUCGGCCACACUGGGACUGAGACACGGUCCAGACUCCUACGGGAGGCAGCAGUAGGGAAUCUUCCGCAAUGGGCGAAAGCCUGACGGAGCAACGCCGCGUGAGUGAUGAAGGUCUUCGGAUCGUAAAACUCUGUUAUUAGGGAAGAACAUAUGUGUAAGUAACUGUGCACAUCUUGACGGUACCUAAUCAGAAAGCCACGGCUAACUACGUG
rnacentral:rRNA from 1 species